rfam:Eutrema salsugineum unplaced genomic scaffold scaffold_3, whole genome shotgun sequence.
AAAACAUGGUGUGGACACUGAUUAGUGUAGCUUCUAAACCGCUCCCAAGCUUCCCUAAAGCUUUCAUUGUUAUGUUGCCUGAAGCUUGAAAUUUGGUUUCUCAGCUU